rnacentral:rRNA from 1 species
CCUACGGGAGGCAGCAGUAGGGAAUCUUCCACAAUGGGCGAAAGCCUGAUGGAGCAACGCCGCGUGGGUGAAGAAGGUCUUCGGAUCGUAAAACCCUGUUGUUAGAGAAGAAAGUGCGUGAGAGUAACUGUUCACGUUUCGACGGUAUCUAACCAGAAAGCCACGGCUAACUACGUGCCAGCAGCGGCGGUAAUACGUAGGUGGCAAGCGUUAUCCGGAUUGAUUGGGCGUAAAGGGAACGCAGGCGGUCUGUUAAGUCUGAUGUGAAAGCCUUCGGCUUAACCGGAGUAGUGCAUUGGAAACUGGGAGACUUGAGUGCAGAAGAGGAGAGUGGAACUCCAUGUGUAGCGGUGAAAUGCGUAGAUAUAUGGAAGAACACCAGUGGCGAAAGCAGCUCUCUGGUCUGUAACUGACGCUGAGGUUCGAAAGCGUGGGUAGCAAACAGGAUUAGAUACCCCUGUAGUC